rnacentral:rRNA from 1 species
UACGUAGGGUGCGAGCGUUAAUCAGAAUUACUGGGCGUAAAGCGUGCGCAGGCGGUUUUGUAAGCCAGGUGUGAAAUCCCCGGCUCAACCUGGGAAUGGCAUUUGGGACUGCAAGGCUGGAGUGUGGCAGAGGAGACUGGAAUUCCUGGUGUAGCAGUGAAAUGCGUAGAUAUCAGGAGGAAUACCGAUGGCGAAGGCAGGUCUCUGGGCUGACACUGACGCUCAUGCACGAAAGCGUGGGGAGCAA